AUACGUAGGGGGCGAGCGUUGUCCGGAAUGAUUGGGCGUAAAGGGCGCGUAGGCGGCCCGGUAAGUCUGGAGUGAAAGUCCUGUUUUUAAGAUGGGAAUUGCUUUGGAUACUGUCGGGCUUGAGUGCAGGGGAGGUAAGUGGAAUUCCCAGUGUAGCGGUGAAAUGCGUAGAGAUUGGGAGGAACACCAGUGGCGAAGGCGACUUACUGGACUGUAACUGACGCUGAGGCGCGAAAGUGUGGGGAGCAAACAGGAUUAGAUACCCUGGUAGUCCACACUGUAAACGAUGAAUGCUAGGUGUAGGGGGUAUCGACCCCUUCUGUGCCGCAGUCAACACAAUAAGUAUUCCGCCUGGGGAGUACGGCCGCAAGGUUGAAACUCAAAGGAAUUGACGGGG
rnacentral:rRNA from 1 species